rnacentral:rRNA from 1 species
GGCUUGUUGAUUAUAAUUUCAAGUCUGACCUGCCCUAUGAUUUCUUUAAAUGGCCGCAGUAUAUUGACUGUGCAAAGGUAGCGUAAUCACUAGUUUUUUUAUUGAAAGCUUGAAUGAAGGGUUCGAUGAAAAAGUUUCUGUCUCUGAGAAAAUUAAUUAGAAUUUUAUUUUUAAGUGAAAAAGCUUAAAUAUUCAUAGAAGACGAGAAGACCCUAUAGAGUUUAAUAUUACUAUUAAAAGUUUAAUUAAAGUUAUAUUAGGUUUAAUAUUAGUAUUUGGUUGGGGUGAUAAAAAAAUUAAAUAAACUUUUUUUAAAGUUUUACAUUAAUUUGUGAGUUUUUGAUCCUAUGAUUUAGAUUAGAAGAAUAAAUUACCUUAGGGAUAACAGCGUAAUUUUCUUUAGAGUUCUUAUCGAGUGGAAAGUUUGCGACCUCGAUGUUGGAUUAAAAUUUAUAGUUGGUGUAGAAGCUUACUUAUUAAGUCUGUUCGACUUUUAAAAUUUUACAUGAUCUGAGUUUAAACCGGUGUGAG